rnacentral:lncRNA from 1 species
UUCUAUUGUUCAUCAUUGCCAUAUUUGCUUUUCUAGAGCUUUUCUUUUCUGUGUAAACUCUUUCAUUGUGGUGCUUGUUCCAGUCAAGGGACGUGGAACAAGGGAAAGGCGUCCCAAACCUAAGUGAAAUUGGGAGUGUUAGGGUUUGUUGUGAGCCCGGUGUAAAACAACGAGUUAGGUAGUGAACUCGCAAAACUACCGUACUGUAAUCUUGGAUUAUAGUGGAAAUUCCCAAAGGUGAUUUGGGGAGUGGAUGUAGGAGCAGUGGAAGCUCCGAACCACUAUAAAAUCUUGUGUUUGCGAUUGACCUUUCCAAUUCCUCCUUCUUUACUUUAGUGCAUAUAUUUGUGUGUUUUAUUUUUAAUUAGGCGAAAAGUUUUAAAACACCCAAUUCACCCCCCUCUUGGGUGACCAUCUCUGGGCAACAAGUGGUAUCAGAGCAGGUGCUCUGUGUAUUUCUUGAAAGACCUAACCGUCUUAGCCAAAGAUCUAGAUGGCAACACCCUUUAACAAUGUUCCUGCCGAG